rnacentral:lncRNA from 1 species
AAACAUGGCUGACGUUCUCAAGGAGUCCAUGGUCUAGUGGAUAUUCAGUAUCCAUGACUGCACAAGUUACCUCAAAAUGCAGCAGCUUAAAACAGCACCAGUUAUUUAUUAACUCAAAUGGUUUCUGUGUGUCAGGAAUCUCAGAGUAUAUUCGCUGGGUGGUUCUUAGGAUUCCUCAUGAGGUUGCAGUCAUCUGAAUACUUGCUCUGGGAUGUAAGAUCUAAUUCUAUGCUGGCUCCCACAUACAUGCCCGGCAGUUGAUGCCAGCUAUCAAUAAGAAGGCUCACGUUUUUGCCACUCCAGAAGUCUGCUUGAGAGUCUUUACAACAUGCUGGCUUCCCCCAAAGUGAGUGGUCCCAAAGACAGCAAGGUGGAGGCAAGGUUAUCUUGAAAACUUGGCCUCAGAAGUAACAUGGCAUCAUUCCUGCAACAUCUUAUUGGUUAUAUAGUCGAGAGAAAAAUAUAGUUUUAAAAAUUGUGCUACUACAGAAAGUCUGCAAAAUGCAAUGAAAACGAGAAAACUAGAAUACAUGUACCCAGAGAUAAAAUAACGUUACUGGGAAUCCUCCGUGCUGAAUGAAACAGCCUCAAAAUUCUUACCAAGACUUCUUCAUUCAAACACCUGGUUAGAGCCAACUAUGAGCAAGCACAUGCUAAGAAUUGGGAAGCAGAAAGAAGAGCCGAGGGGUCCAUCCACGUAGGCUCCACACUGCAGUGGCAAGUGAGACAUACAUCCACCAAUACCCAUGCAUCAAAGGUAUUUAACAAAUAAGUACACAAGGAUCAAUGUCAUAAAAAAUGAAGUAACAGGUGGAAAGAUAACCUAUAGAAGGGGAACCCAAAUUUGAACAGAAUGCCAGGCCCAGAACACUUUCCUUGAGAUGCUAACUGAGCUCUAGAAGAAAGAUGAGGAAGGGAGAUUCCUAUUUCAGGUAACAUAGUGAACUAGACAACCUCAAAACCCUCACAGUGAAAACAUUUUGAAAAGUUAACAAGGAACAUAUAUGUGUGCGUGUGUGUGUGUGUGUGUGUGUGUGCGCACGCACGCAUAUAAAACUUAAGUUGGCAUCACAGCAAAAAUACAAAAAUGAAAAGCAAGUCCAAGUUGGAAAAUUAGAAUAUAAGUAAUCCCUGAAACUCAGUAUUGCUUUGAGGGGAAUGGCUCUUGACCUUCUGCUUUCACUGCUGUGAGGGUGCAGGAGGGAGAAGAUGAGGCCCAUGGCCUGGCUUAAGAGGGAGUCAGAGAGAGAACCUUUGCAUGAAGUUAGGACCCGAAUCCUACACUCUUAGUAUAAAGGUGAUUUAGAAACAAACCCCCACACACAGAAGGGAGGAACAGAAAACACACUGAUUUUUAUCUGGAUGACUACUAAAGUGGGGGUGGGAGGCCUUCCCUGAGAAUUAGCACCCUCAAGAUGGAUCACACAGUGGUGUGUUGUCUGGACUCAAGCUAUCUGGUGUCUGACAGACCUCAAAUGCAGAAUUUAAUUCAAAGUGAUUAGGACUGACAGGGCCUCAGGCAACUAGCCGCAAUAAAUGCAAAUCUGCUUCCAGGCAAACACAACAUUACACCUCCAGGCUUUCAUAAAUCUGCAUGGAAUUUCCCAUAGAGUUCAACUGUAGUAAGUGAGGAGGAAAGGCUAGGGCCCACGGCUAGGCUGCAGGGCUCAAUUCUUGUUUCCACCACUCCACAGCUAAGAAGUCUUGGUCUAGCUGCCUCUACUCUCAGGUUCCUCCUCUGUAAAAGAUUAUCACAGCACUAAUUUCAAGGAUCUGUCAUGAGAUUUCAAUGAGAUAACACUAAAUGUUUAGUACUAUGUCUGAUACAUGAUAAGUGACAAGUAAAUGUUGGCUAUUGAUUUUGAUUACCAUUUUGCAAAUUUAUAUUGUUGUAUACCUUUACUCAUUGUUCUGUUUAUUAAUAUUUCCUCCAUUGUUUUAUUAAAUUUACCAGAGGUUUGCCAUCUUCUUAUAUAUGGAAAUUAAUUAAUUAAAAAUUAAUAUUUUCAUUAAUUUAAAUUAAUGAAAAUUAAUAUUUGUUUACUUUUCUGUUUAUUAUUUUUCUUACUUCACAGAAUUCUGCUGUGAACUCCACUUCCCUUCUGCUUUCCUUAGGGACACACCAUUGUUCAUAUUUCAAUUACUGCAUGAAAUGCAAGAUUCAUUUAUCAUUACCUUUGUUUUUGAAUAAUGAAAGAAGUGGAGGCUAUUAAAAUAUCUCCAGUGACAGCUUUGGCCACAUUCCAUAAACUUUACUAUGAAAUGUUCCUCUUCUGUUGAUACCAAAACAGACUAUAAUUUUAGUUUUUAUAUCCUUUUGGAUUAAAUAGCAUUUAGGAAGAAUCUUUACCCUCCUCUAGUUUCCAAGAAGUUUGAAUUUCCCAUUUAAUAGUUUGUUUCUGAUAUGUAGUUCCGCUGCACUGUGGUCAAGAGUAGGGCCUGUGUAAUUUUUAUGGUAUCUAUCAUUUGUGUAAUUUUUUUGAUGAACACUUCACUCAUUUUUAUUCCAUAUGAUAGGCAGUUCAAUAACUACUGAUAUUAUGUUUUAAAAAUCAUUUCUGUCAUUAACAAGAUGAUUCAUCUUUCUUUUCUGUGGCCAAAGCUCUCCCAACAUAUAUUUCUAUCAAUUUUUGUUUUGUGCUUAGUAUAUCUGGAAGUUUUCUACUUGGAAAAUAACUCGGCUAUUCUAUCCUCUUAUGGGUAUUAAACUUACCAAUUUAAAAUUAUUAGUUGUACCUAAUUAAAUAUAUUUUAUUGUAUUUGAUUUAGUCUAAAAUUAACACACUCACACCAUAUUGCUAUUUAACCAAGAAUUAAAGUUGUUA